rnacentral:rRNA from 1 species
AUGGCUAAAUAUUGGUGGGGCAGCUCCCUCGACAAAAGAUCUUUGCAUUGGAUGUCCUGGGACAAGCUGAUUGUGCCAAAGGUCAAGGGAGGCAUGGGUUUUCGAGACCUUGAAGUGUUCAAUCUCGCUAUGCUCGGCAAGCAGGGCUGACGAAUUUUGACAAACCCGGACUCCUUGUGUGCCGGGGUAUUAAAAGGCAGAUACUUCCCUCAGACAGAGUUCUUACACGCCACGGCGCUGGCCUGGGCUUCUGCCACAUGGAAGGCCAUCGUGGCUGGCCGG